UUUUCAACGUGGCCCCGAUAAUUUCUUGUGCAAAUUGAAUUGUUUUAACGGAUUACUUAUUUUGAACUCUGUGUUUUUCCAAGGAUAAUAAUUAAUACAACAAGACACAAAGCAGCAACUUUUGAAUAGAGGCAAAUAAGGUUUGUGCUCUCGUUUACAUUGCAUACCUUACCUAAUUCCACAUACAUUGUAAUAUAUGAUGCCGAAACAAAGGGCAACUCAAGAUUUUGUUGGUGAGAGGCAACAACGUAGACAAUUUCGUCCACUGCCUCGUACUGCAAAUGCAAUGGAUACCCAUGGAAAUCAAAACGCAGCUGCUUGUAUGGUUCCACCAAAUUUUGAUGCAGCGAAUCAUCAGCAUGAACUCUUGAAGGUGCAGUUGACCAAAUUGAAGAAGCCCAUCAAUUCCAUGGAGCAGAAAACAAUUUAAACGGCCAUCACAUGAAUAAUGGCGCUGAUUCUAGUGACGUAGACCUUCAAUCAACGGUCGAUGCUGAUGACAGCGAUAACAUUUCAGACCAAGAGGCAGUAAGUGAAAGUGAUUCGUAUGAUGUGCCUAGUGCUAGCGAUGAAGACGCAUCUGAUUUCGGAAGUGUUCAUGACCAGUCUGAUUAUGAUUAGCUUGAGGAGGAAGUUGAUAACAAUAAAGAAAAGAAAAAAUAGAGAAUUGAAACGUGAUUUGACAAAAUGGGUCAUUGAAUGUGGAAUCUAACGAACACACAUCAACAAGUUGCUCGUUAUAUUGAAAACCUGCAAUGAAUUGGCUUUUUUACCCAACGAUUAUCGAGCCCUUUUAAGAACUGUCCUCAAUGUAACUUCAAAGAAAGUCCAUCCAGGCAGUUAUUUUCACUUUGGCUUAAGAGUAAGCAUUUUACGUUCUCUUUAUCGUUUAAAUCUUGAAAUUGUUCCGGAUAACAUUAAACUGUUCGUCAAGAUUGAUGGUAUUCCGCUUGCCAAAAGUAGUAACAGCCAAUUUUGGACAAUUUUAGUCGCCAUUCGUGGAUUCAGAGCUUCAAGCCCAUUUGUAGUUGGGAUCUAUCACGGAAGUACCAAGCCGAAAUUUAUAAUUGAUUAUUUGCGAGAUUUCAUUAGUUAAGCAAUCCUAUUGGAAUCUGAUGGAGUUGUCUUCCUAGAGUCAAAAAUAAAAGUGUCACUUGCAGCCUUCAUCUGGGAUUUGCCAGCUCGAUCGUUUAUUACGAAAAUCAAGUCACACAAUGCCUAUUUUGGAUGUACAAAGUGUGAAACAAAAGGUUCAUUCUAUAAUCGUAUGUUAAAUAAUGCAAGAU